AGAAAUUUCUUUAAGUGCUAUGUUCUUUAUUGACAGUGCUGGAUGCAAGGGGGAUCCUUCCACCCAACGUGCAUACCCGAAGUGACAAACUAUCUCACAUUUAUACAGCAGAACAAUGAAUAUUCAAUUAAUGCCUAUACAUAUUCAUUACUUAAACCCGCCUACUCAUGCUUCUUAUGCUAAUUAGCUUAUCAGUCCUUUGCACUUGCACAGAUUCUUUCAAGAAUUGUGGACAGGGGUCUCUGGGGUGUGGGCAGUGGUCUUUGGGAGGAAGGCCGUAUG